AACCCGACUACACGAAGCUGGAAUCGCUAGUAAUCGCGAAUCAGAAUGUCGCGGUGAAUACGUUCCCGGGUCUUGUACACACCGCCCGUCACACCAUGGGAGUCGGGAAUGCCCGAAGUCAGUGACCCAACCUUUGGAGGGAGCUGCCGAAGGCAGGUCUGAUAACUGGGGUGAAGUCGUAACAAGGUAAC
rnacentral:rRNA from 1 species